rnacentral:rRNA from 1 species
UUUUUAUAAGUAAAAUCUGCUCCAUGUUAAUAAAUAGCCGCAGAAUAACUGUGCUAAGGUAGCAUAAUCAUUAGUCUUCUAAUUUAAGACUAGAAUGAAUGAUUUAACAUUUUAAUUAAUUUUUUUAUUUAAAAAAUUUAAAUUUAACUAAGAAUAAAAAUGUUCUUAUUAAUAAAAAAGACGAUAAGACCCUAAUGAACUUUACUAAAGUUUAGCUGGGGAAGCUAAUUAAAAAUAAUUUUAAUUACCUUUAUCUUAAUAAAAAUCCAAUAAAAUUGAUAUAAACAAGUUACCAUAGGGAUAACAGCGUAAUAACUUUUAAAAGCUCCUAUUUAAAAAACAGUUUACGACCUCGAUGUUGAAUUAAUUUUCCUAAAAAACGUAACCGUUUAAAAGGGGGUCUGU